rnacentral:tRNA from 1 species
GCCAGUGUGGUGUAGUGGUUUGAGUGUUGGACUAUGACUCUGGAGACCUGGGUUUGAUUCCCAGCUCGGCCA